AUUGAACGCUGGCGGCAGGCUUAACACAUGCAAGUCGAGCGAGCGGCGGACGGGUGAGUAAUGGCUGGGAAACUGCCUGAUGGAGGGGGAUAACUACUGGAAACGGUAGCUAAUACCGCAUACCAUCAAAUGUGCCCAGAUGGGAUUAGCUAGUAGGUGGGGUAAUGGCUCACCUAGGCGACGCUCCCUAGCUGGUCUGAGAGGAUGAACAGCCACACUUGAACUGAGACACGGUCCAGACUCCUACGGGAGGCAGCAGUGGGGAAUAUUGCACAAUGGGCGCAAGCCUGAGGCAGCAAUGCCGCGUGUGUGAAGAAGGCCUUCGGGUUGUAAAGCACUUUCAGCGCGGAGGCGUUACUUACAGAAGAAGCACCGGCUAACUACGUGCCAGCAGCCGCGGUAAUAC
rnacentral:rRNA from 1 species